AGAGAGAGAGAGAGAGAGAGAGAGAGAGAGAGAGAGAGGUUAAAAGAAAUCCCCUCAUUUACGUCUGAUUACGCCAACUGCAAUAUAUUUGUGUGUGAUCUUUUUGUCAUAUACUUUUAUAUGUUAUAUAUGUCUCAUCCUCAUCCCCUCAUUCAUCCAUUACUCACUCUGCUUUUCCCACUACAUUUACGAAUAUCUCCCUCUUUCGCAAAACAAGGGAUUGGACACAUGGACGACAUCCAGUACCUUUUCUACAACUCAACCAACUUCCAUCCUCUGCAACGAGACGCAGACUUGUUCGUCAGCAGAAUCAUGGCGACGCUGUGGUCCAACUUCGCCAAACGGGGCACCCAACCCCUGACCAGUCUCUAGGCUUCAGAUGGACCCCAGCCUCAGCCUCCAACCUUCAACACUUGGCCAUCAACACGAGCCCCAAGAUGAUAAACAGUCCCUUCGCUCUGAACCGAGAGUUCUGGAGGAACCUGCCCAUCAAGAACAACAGGCUCCUCUACCCCGAGCUCUUCAGCCUUGUUCAGAGCCCUCUCCUAGCCAGUGGCUCUGGACCUCCGCCCCAGGCUGUGACACACCCAGGGACUGAGUAACGGGCAAAAUAAGCAUGUCAUGACUUCACAAAUUGACUGGCAAAUUCUUAAUUACACAUCUUAUGUCCUCUUUUCUCCCCAGAACCAUGCAAAAAUAAGGCCAGAUUGUAUCCAUCUCUGCAAGUGUCUGCUUCAGUGUAACAGAAAUUCAUUGCCAAGGAUGGUGAAAUGUGUGUCACUAAUUUGGAUUAUUUUUUCAAAGGUUUAAAUAAAAUUAGUAAUAAAAAAUA